UACGGAGGGGGCUAGCGUUGUUCGGAAUUACUGGGCGUAAAGCGCACGUAGGCGGCUUUGUAAGUUAGAGGUGAAAGCCCGGGGCUCAACUCCGGAAUUGCCUUUGAGACUGCAUCGCUAGAAUUGUGGAGAGGUAAGUGGAAUUCCGAGUGUAGAGGUGAAAUUCGUAGAUAUUGGGAAGAACACCGAUGGCGAAGGCAGCCAUCUGGACCGACACUGACGCUGAGGCGCGAAAGCGUGGGGAGCAAACAGG
rnacentral:rRNA from 1 species